rnacentral:snRNA from 1 species
AUCGUUUCUCGGCUCCUUGGAGCUAAGAUCAAAGUGUAGUGUCUGUUCUUAUCAGUUUAAUUUCUUCUGAUGGACAUCUGCAAACACACGUCCAGAAGAUGGAAUCUCCUGCAGCCAUUUUUGAAAAAAUUGAUGCUGCUUUGAAGAUAUACUCCACUCCUUCUAUUUUGGAAGAAAACUCCU